rnacentral:pre_miRNA from 1 species
AAGCUACUCCCUCCAUUUGGAAUUACUUGUCGUGAAAAUGGAUAUAUCUAGACGUAUUUUAGUUCUAAAUACAUCCAUUUUCAAGACAAGUAAUUUCGAACGGAGGGAGUAGUAA